GCGGGCUGACGAGCGACGCCCUGUCCUCCGCGCCCGCUGACUGACGCCUGAGGCAGGCAGCCGAGCUCGGGCACAGCUUCCCCGCCCAAUAAAGGAGGCCCUUGAGGAAUUCCACCUGGAUUUCAACAAUUUCCACCCCACCAUCAACCUCAGCCUGGACCAGUCCACACAGGAGAUCCACUUCCUGGACACUACAGUGCAAGGACUGGGAGUGGCAGGUUCAUUACAAAAGCAGCUUUGCCUCCUGGAAUUGACAUCUCCUCAUCUAUUAUUGGGAGUGGACUACAUCCAUCCUGAUCGAAUUGGCCCUGUCAACACUGGUUCUCCACUUGUGAGGUACUUCCUUCUCUUCAUGUGUCAUUAUAUAAUGCCUGCAUCUGUAACUUUCACUCCAUGCAACUGAAGAAGUGAUUUUUUUUACCCAUGAAAGCUUAUGCCCAAAUAAAUCUUAGUGUUUAAGGUGC